GGUGGUUGAACAGUGUUGUUGACAGGGCUAUUAGAGAAAAGAAACAGGCUUGGAAGGACUGGAAGAACAGUGGUAGCAGGGAAUCGUAUCAGACUGCCAGAAUGGAAGCUAGGAGACAGGUUUAUUAAGCCAGAGAGGAAGCAGAUAAGUAAAAAUUUACCAAUAUUCUGUGCCAUGCAGACCAAAGACUUGAGGUAUUUCGUGUUGCAAGACAGUGUGU
rnacentral:lncRNA from 1 species